rnacentral:rRNA from 1 species
UACGUAGGGUGCAAGCGUUGUCCGGAAUUAUUGGGCGUAAAGAGCUCGUAGGCGGUUUGUUGCGUCGGCUGUGAAAUCCCGAGGCUCAACCUCGGGUCUGCAGUCGAUACGGGCAGGCUAGAGUUCGGUAGGGGAGACUGGAAUUCCUGGUGUAGCGGUGAAAUGCGCAGAUAUCAGGAGGAACACCGGUGGCGAAGGCGGGUCUCUGGGCCGAUACUGACGCUGAGGAGCGAAAGCGUGGGGGAGCGAACAGG